GAUGAAAUCAUAUGUUUCAUAAAAUAAGGAUCAGCAUAUGUGAUAUGAAAAAGCAUGUUUUAUUAUGAGUAUUGAUUUCAUGAAUAUAUCUUAUGAAAAUAGCAUGAUUAUAAAGUAUGAAUUUUAUGAUUUUGCCACCUAUGUAUAUGUAUGUUUUAAGCAAAAGAUAUAAUGAUUUCAAAGGCUCUCAGAUAGCUAUGAACGAAUUCCUUCGGAAAGGUCGACAUCCGGAGCUAGCAUCCAUAAGAACACAGGCCCUACCAGCACGUAUAAAGUUGGCAUACGAAACAUAAACUUAUCGAUUAAAAACACUGGCCCUGUCAUGGGUAUAAAGUGACUAUAGCACGAAUAUCUAUGAGCAAGAUUUGAAAAUAUCAUAUGGAC
rnacentral:lncRNA from 1 species